rnacentral:tRNA from 1 species
GCGCCCUUAGCUCAGCUGGAUAGAGCGUCUGGCUACGAACCAGGAGGUCGCACGUUCGAGUCGUGCAGGGCGCACCA